rnacentral:lncRNA from 1 species
GCGGCGGGCGCGCGCGUGGACCGGUCCGGUUCGGGCGUGGUCGGCCGGUUCGCGGCUUAGCGGGCCGGCCCAGUGGGUCGGUCCGUCCUAAUUUUUUUCUUUAACCUUUUCUUUUUCUGUUUUUCUCAUUUCUUUGAUAUCUUUUGAUUUUGAACUCCAAAUUGAUCCAAAGAAAUUCCAGAAAAUUUGUAAAAUCAUGUUUUACUAUGAUUCAACUUUUGGGAGUAGCUUCCCCUGAAAAUAAAAUAUAUAAAAAUACAUU